rnacentral:rRNA from 1 species
AUGAACGCUGGCGGCGUGCCUAAUACAUGCAAGUCGAGCGAACGGACGAGAAGCUUGCUUCUCUGAUGUUAGCGGCGGACGGGUGAGUAACACGUGGAUAACCUACCUAUAAGACUGGGAUAACUUCGGGAAACCGGAGCUAAUACCGGAUAAUAUUUUGAACCGCAUGGUUCAAAAGUGAAAGACGGUCUUGCUGUCACUUAUAGAUGGAUCCGCGCUGCAUUAGCUAGUUGGUAAGGUAACGGCUUACCAAGGCAACGAUGCAUAGCCGACCUGAGAGGGUGGUUGGCCCCCCCGGGACAGGGGCACCGGCCCAGCCCCUACGGGGGGCAGCAGUGGGGAAUCUUCCGCAAUGGGGGAAAGCCUGGCGGAGCCACGCCGCGUGAGUGAUGAAGGUCUUCGGAUCGUAAAACUCUGUUAUUAGGGAAGAACAUAUGUGUAAGUAACUGUGCACAUCUUGACGGUACCUAAUCAGAAAGCCACGGCUAACUACGUG